rnacentral:lncRNA from 1 species
GGAGGAGGAGGAGGAACGGGAGGAGGAGGAGGGGAAGGAGGAGGAAGAGGAGGAGAGGGAGGCGUUUUUCUGCUCAGACCGCCGCCAGUUCGAGCGGGCAGGGGCACGGGGACACCCCACUCGUUGCUCCUACGUUGUGGAAAGGUCACUGUCAUAUGACAAAGGCUUUACUGCAGUUCAUCUUCCUCCCUGUGUACUUUCCAUUUACCUUCCUGGAAUCCUGCUACAUCACAGACGCUGGAAGUUCUGAUGUUCCAUUGUAAUCACAAUGGAAAGUCCUGACUUGACUGGCACCCUCAGGAAGACCCCAAGCCUCUAGCAGUACCUGGUAUCAUCUCCAGCAUGUUGUAGAUGUGGAGGAUUCACUGGGAUAUUGAGAAAUACCAGAGGCGAAUUGUUCCACUGUAGUAAGUCCAUCAGCAUUUAUACAGUAACUGCUGUUCAUAGAGCAAAGUUGGUGG